AUGUUACUGCUUUGGGAAUAUCUAUUGUAACUCUUAUCCUUCCGCACACUCUGCUGUCGUCACCACUGCUGUGGCUAAUCCACUACUAUUUGGCAAGAAAACUGUUUAUCCAUUCUGUGUUAGGGUAGAUAGCUGAAGUAAAAGCUGGAGGAGGAGAAGGCAACCAGCAAAGUACACUGUGUUUGCUCUGCAGCACAUUAACAUGCUAGCUAAGCUAACAAGGAGAAGAUGACCAAGUGUUUUGGUCAUUAGACUAAUUUUGUCAUCGGGUUUGAUGACACACUCCCAGAUAAACUACAAGGAUAUUGUGACUAGAGGUAGCAGGAAAGUAGUAAAGACUGUAUCUGCGUAGAUUUCAUAACUAACUAUCCUGCACUUUUUCUCUACUUUGCCAUGUGGAGAAUCACUCACAUCCUGAAUACUAACCUUGAUCAACUUGAAUUGCUGCAUUAAAGUAGGUAUGUUUAUGGCUCAGUGUCUCAAUUUCCUCCAUUUUUGGCUAUCUUUGUGUUUGUUUGCUAAUGGCUCAGACAGCCAUUUUUUGAUACCACAAGCCCCAGUGUUGCAUAGGGAAAGAAACAAGACAAGGGCCAUCCAUCUGAGAAACAACGCAAACAGUAUUUACCCCACACCCUUACUUUUUUAGAGUUUGAGGUUGUUUGGUUUUUUUUCAUUCUGUUUUUUCAGAGUAUAUUAGUUUAUUUCAUUAGCUAUUUAUGCUAGGAAAAACCAAACCAAAACUAAUUGCUGUAUCCACCCUCAGGAAAAAGAAAGAAAAGAAAAUUAUCAAGGGAAACUUAAUCCAUCUGUCUCUCCAAAAGCUAAAUUACUCAGAGUGCUGUGAAAGCAGAGCUUCUGCAGGACUUGGAGCAGUGUUCCUCAUGGGAUCUUUGAAUACUCUGUUCUUCUGAGGAAUUGAUCAUACAUCGAAGAAUGGACUCAGAAUAUAAAGAUAAGAGGAUUUACCAGGCAAAAGAGUGAGACCAGAUAAAAGAUGAGUCACUGUCAUCCUUAAAAUGGAGCCGACAGAAUUGGGAAAGAACAGGUUUUUGGUUUUAAGCUGUAUUUAAUACCAAAAAAACCUUUGUUAUAACUUGAUUUUACUUUUUCCCCACAAUGUUUUCCUUUAAGUAUUUUGAUUAAUAUUGCCAAAUUAUUGCCAAACAGGCUUAUUUUCUGCAUUCAAACCAGGCCUGUGCUUGUAAGUACAAUGCACCUGCUAGCUUCAGUGUACUCUGCCUCCUGAAUUCUUGUGAAAUCACAUUUACCCAUGUAAAUACUACUAAAAUCCUUUGGUCGUGGUUGCAGUGACACAGGGCAUUUGUACCAGAACCCUUGCACCAGGCACAAGGGAAAGCAUCAGAGUAUUUUAACUUGCAUUUUGUUGUGUUUCAGAGUUUUUAAAAUCCAUUUUCCCUCAGGGGGAGGGGGUGUGGGGGGGGAUGAUGCAGCAAAUCUCACUGUUUCAUAUCGGAGUGGGUGAGAUUUUCUGGUAAAUGACGUGGGUAUAUGGUUAGUACCACAGUGGGAUCAGUGAUAUCAUUGCUCUAUGGCAAUGGAAAUUUUGAUGCUGACUGAGCAAUGAAAACCCAGAUUGACAUUGAUGAGCAAAUGUGAUUCACCACUAAUUUAUCCCCAGGUAUUGAGAUGGCCAUGAAGCAUAUUUAACUUGUCUGCAAAUCUAUAUAAUUUACAAAUAUGUAUGUAGAGAGCUUGAAAAUUAAUUUUCACUAACUUUUGUCUUCUAACUUUUCUCUGUGAUUGCUUUUGCUUGCCCAGCCAAGAAGCAGGUGACCAAUAAGGUAUGAAUUGCCAAUGGCUAAUGAAUAAUAAUCAAAUGAAUAGUUUGUAAAUAGCCCUUAACCUGAAAGCUGCUUUUCUGGUAUAUCUGAUGAUUUCUUACAAAUCAAAAUGUAUUUUUCCUGUUUGAUGAAUAUACAGGUACAUAUUUAUACAUGCACAACUGACAUGCCUUGUAGAAGUACACAGAUUUCCAGUCUGAGGCAGCGAUAUUUGAACAACUGCAGUUUGGAUGAGCAGCAGUUGAGGAAUUUAGCAUAGACUAGCAUAGUUAAACAAGAUUUCUACAAUUAUAAAUUGAUGAUGUAAAGUUUCAGUAAUUUACUCUUGAUAUUGACAGAACAAUUUGGGACUAAUCUGUCUAAAGGACCAGCUUUAAUUUUUUCAGGUGACUGGCUCUUGGUUUUUGUCAAUCAUUUCAGUCUGAUUAGAUCUUUAAAUUUAAACAUUUUUGUACAAGAGUUUUUCUAAUAAGAAAUUGUUAAUUGCUAAACAAACAGGCUGCAAUAACAAAAUACAAUUCACUGAAAUUGUUUCCAUUAGUUAAGCUUUCUCUCAGAGAAUUUAAAUAUUUGCUGAAUCUCUAGUCAUUGUGCAGCAGUUUUCAGGAAAAAUGUAAUGGUUGGACUGAAGGAAAAAAAAGCGUCUCGCACAAAUAGGCAUGCGAAAUAGAAGUUAUUAAACUAUUUUGGUAAAGUCCAAUGUACUAAGAGAAAGUGGAUCACAAAAGCAGAUUCAGUUUUCUGCAUUUUAGUUCAGGAUUUUUAGGCAACAGGUUUUAAGAACCAUGCAGAUGGAAACAGUUUAGUAAAACCUAAGUCUUCUUUUGUUUUGUGGGGUUUUUGUUUGUUUAAUUAGAGUAUCUAAUCUGUUUUUGCAUUCUAAACUUUUUGAAACUCGGUGGAUUGUUUCUUCCUGUUACUGAACAUUCAGCUGGCUGGAAAUGCACUUUAAUUUGAAAGCGUUGCUAUUUUCAGAAGAAUAUCUUUUUCAGCGUUACAGAUUGAUACAUAAAGACUCCAGCUUUAACAGGAGUUGGUGUGUAUUCUAGCAUUAAAAGAAGUCCUUAAAUGAUAAAUAUAAAAUACUUGAACGACUUAAAACCCAAAAGCGUAGGUUUACACUGUUUUCAAAGCAGGAGUCGAAAUUCGAAAGAGCGAGCCUAAUUUUGAGCGGAAAUAGGAAGACUGCCGUAGUUCGAUGAGGAUUCCCG
rnacentral:lncRNA from 1 species